rnacentral:rRNA from 1 species
UACAGAGGUCCCGAGCGUUUGUUCGGAUUCAUUGGGCGUAAAGGGUGCGUAGGCGGCUUCCUAAGUUUGAUGUGAAAUCCUGGGGCUCAACCCUGGAACUGCAUUGAAUACUGGGAGGCUAGAGUACUGGAGAGGAAACUGGAAUUUACGGUGUAGCAGUGAAAAUGCGUAGAGAUCGUAAGGAAGACCAGUGGCGAAGGCGAGUUUCUGGACAGUUACUGAC